AUAGUUUCAUUAUAACCCUUUUCGUUUGAAACACCAACAUAUAAAGUCCAUUUGGAAAAAGUCAUAAAGCCCUUCAAACACUCACAGAGUCAGGCGCGACAAGCAUUUUGAAUUUCAAACCCACAUCUAUCUCUCUCUCAUAUUCCCUGUGAAUCAGGAUCUGGAUCUGCUCUCUUUAUUCACCUUUGAAUCAAAGAAAAAGAUCAUCAAUCUGUUUUUGGCUUAGAUUUGAAGGUGCAUCUCCAUCCAAGAUCUUACUCGCACUAUACGAUGAUCCACUGCAGUUCUCAAUUUCAAGAAUCAUUACAUAUGAUCAUAAGCAACCGCAAAGACAAUUAUGAGGACAGUGGGUAUAAAAGGGCUCACCCUUUAUCAUUUGAAGUCACAUCUCCAGGUUAGUCAUUUUUGUUAUAGAUUUUCAUAAUAAGCAUAUGUCAUAUAUAUGAUAGCCUAAACGCAGGGUGUUUGGAUGUGAGCUUUUUUUUAAUGAUUAUGCUACUUUAAGUUGUAAUUAUAAAGUUGAAUGUGUUGAGUAUGUAUCAGAUUCAGAUUCAGAUGAUUCAAGGAAUUAAUAGAUAUCAGGGCACAUAAGUAACUAUUCUUACUACUUUAAAUGAUUAUGCUACUUUAAGUUGUAAUAUAUUCUUACCAUUUGAUAAUUUUUGUUUGUAUUUCAUGUUGUAUAUUUGUUCUUGCAGAAAUAUAUGUUGGGAAAGUAGUUUCGUAAAGAGUGAACUGAGAAUUCUAAAGACGGUAAUUAUCUUACACAUCCUAACUCAUGGUUUUAAAAAACGGUUGAGGCGCGCGCCUCAAGGUGAAACGGCCAAAAGACGAGUCUGGGGCACGCCUCAGGAGGUUUAUAAUGUAUGUGCACCUCAGAGGGGCUGAGGCGCUAAAAGGUAGCGCCUUAGGGGUUUUUGAUAUUUGUUUUUGAUGUUUUUGAGUUUUUUUUUUUGUCAAUUUCAAGCAAUAUAUGUCUUUUUUAUGUGUGUUUUUGAUGAAUUUGAUGAUGAAUUUCGUCAGUAUUACUAUUUUCAUAAGAUAUAUAAUAUUUGUAUUUUAAUUCCGCCUCAGUUCUCCUCGACACUUACACCUCGUGAGGCGAAGGGAAAACGCCUCGAAACUCGUUUCCAUUUUUUUAAACCUUGUCCUAACUGAUAUUUUCUAUGCUUUUUUUGACACAAUAAAUUUGAUUUAAUGAUACCUUAUAUUGAGUGGUUUCUAUAUUUUAUAAACUUCCCGUGAUCUAAAAUCUUACAAUUAUGUAAAAAAAGAAUACUAUGAUUUGGACAACAAAGGGGAUUUUACGGAUGCACAUUUAUAAAGUGAUUGGUAUUUGAAGAUUCAAAAUCACAUAUUUUAAGCUUAGAGAUAGUUUUACAUUUAUCUUGGCAAAGUUUUUUUGGUAUGACAACAGGUCACUUCUAUGUUUAAAGGUGCUACAUUUAUGAGGUGUUUUAGUGUGGAAGAAGUAAUAGAAAGAAAGGUGAGGAUAGUAUAUAACGUCACCAUACAUUUGAUAAACCAUAUUGAUAUGUUUCAGACUAAGAAAGAUAGUAAAAAUGGGAAGAUUGGCUAGAAGUAAGAGUUUCAUUUCAUUGGUGAACCAAUCCGUUUGUAUGUGUGUUUUCCUGAGGAGAAGGCCUUUAAGGUGCUUCCUGAAUCGUUUUUGGUUUAAACUUAUUGUUUUGCAAUUGUUUCUUUUGAGACGGUUCGUAAAAAAUAUACGAAAAUUAGCUAUAAAAAGAAAAUGGUCAAAUGAGUGGAACAAGUUGGAAGUCGUCUUAAGUUUGUUUAUAAAGCAUAAAACAUCCAAUAUGGUUGUAUUAAAAAAUAUUUGCAAUAUUAAAAUUUUGGUGUUAAUGUGUCACUUCAAGUAGCAUAUCUAUUAGAUAGCAAAUGGCUGAAUGAACAACUACCUGCACAAAUAGUUGCGGAAGAAAGGGGUAUGCUUUCAAGUAUUGGUUUAAAAAAAAAACCCUGGUUGUAAGUGAAUUUUUGCGUUUUUACAUGCUUUUUUAAGUCUAAUUCCUCAUCUUUCACUCAAGAAAACUACUAAUAAUUUAUGUUUUCUUACAGUCUUUCUUUAGAAUGAAAAUGCGAGUGUUCUUCAAUAAGCAUUUAAGUACUAAUAGAUAACUUGAAAAAAAAAAGAUUUUGGAAAAAGUAGCUUGUUGGCAUGUGCUUAUAAAUGUAGUGAAGAUGGUUCAGCAGUUAAUUGGUUUGUCACUGGUCAACUUACUUAACAUCAUGCUGAGUUUUCACCUACGGCAGAUCCUUUGUUUUGAACUGCGUUGUCUUGGAGAGACUGCUAUUGAACUGGGUCGGAUUUUAGAUCAUGGUUUAAGGUAUCAGUCUAUUUGUUCAUCUAACCUUUUUAUCUUUUAUUUUCACAUAUUCACCUCUGCUUGCCGGUGCACAAACAACUGCCAAUAUUUUGCAGCUCAGCGCAACAACGAUCUCCGUCGCAAGCUAAUGUCCGUUGCAACUUGAUUCAUUGCCACAGACAAUCGCAAUCAUGAUAUGUAAUAUUUUUAUUAUUAAGGAUUGUUAUGGGUAUUUUAGUUUAGUUUGGCAUGGUUAUUGUAAAUUGGUUGGAUUAUUUAUAUGGUUAUAUUUGGAAUGGAUUAAUUCGUCUUCGUA